UAAGUGUUUGAUAAAAUGCCUAAAUAAACUUGAUAUAAUGUGAGAAGAAUGACUAAUUGAGUAAAGAAAAUUUUUAUUGUUUAUCGGAUAGGAAAAUUCUUGAAUAAACAACAAAAUUAACUCAGUGGGAGUGCUUGUUAGGAAUAGUUGAGGAAUUUAUUCUGAACUGUUUGUAUUUUUUUGUAUGACAGCAGUUCAUAAGGAGAAAGGUGAAAGUGUUGACGUAGGGACCAAAUCCACCUAAAUUGGAGAUAAACAAGUUUGUGCACAACCAGUAUUAAACUAUUAAAUAUUUUUAUAUAUUUAUGUUGAUAAAAUGGUUUUAUUGUUAUAUAUUUUAUAUUCUCCAUGACAAGAUUUUUCUACAAUAGCUGAUUGAGUUCAUUAUGGUUAUGAGGAAUUUUAUUUGAAAUUAUGAUUUUAUAUUGUGUUUUGCAUGAAAAGUAUAUGAAGCUGAGAUUUACAGAAAAUGGUUCCACAUGGUAAAUUCAUAUUCAUACAAAAAGGGAAAUGACUUUAUGAUAUUGUUUUCAUAUCGCAUAGCUAAUGCUGAUAUGGUUAUUACCCAUCCCUCAUUUAUUGAGGUGACACACUAUUAUUCGAGUGGAUGUGAUAUAAAUACCAUAGUAUAUGCACAUUGUUAUAAUAUGGUCUCCCUUAUGUAAGAGGUGAGAUGAGAUUUGAAGACAGCCCUUUCGGAUUAUAUACAUAAAUGUGGUGUUAUGGAUGGCAUGUGCAUAUUAUUAUGUUAUGGUCUCCCUCAUGUAUGAGUGAGAUGAGAUUUGAAGAUGGCCUUUUCAGAUUGGUCUUGCAUUAGGCUAGUGAGAUUAAAAAUGGAAUUGGAAAUGUGCAAAUGUAUUUUAAAGAUAGUACCUUGUGAGUAAAUGAUUUAUAAGAAACUGAUUUCUAUAUGUGACCCAUACUUUUAUGUUUACCUUGUGAGUAUAAUUGAAUAUCUAUUUUCAUGACUUGUUUUGAAUAUUGUUUUCAUGACUUAUUACUUCGUGAUUUAUUUGGUUUAUGGUUUAAUAUUUGUUAUGCACCACUACAUACAUUUGUACUCAGCUUUAGUUGUUUUCUAACUAACGCAAAUAAAGGAAAGGAAAAGAUUUCAGGCAAGUAGGAGCAGCACUCAUUACUACAGUGAUCAGGAGCCAACAUGAUAUUUUCUUCCAUCCUAGAUUUUCUUUUGGGAUACCUUCAUUGCCUUCACAAUUGCUUUCAAGCCGCUCCAUAAUACAGUGCUGACUAUGGCAAUUUGUCCUUCCCUUAAUUCACUAAUUUUUGUUGAAUUUUGGGUUUCAAUAGUUGAUAUUUGAUUUUGUAUUUGAAUAUUUAUUUAUUGAUUUUGAAUGUUGGAUUCAUUGAUUUGAAGUUUCAAUUAAUGGGAUUUUGAUGCUUGAAUAUGCAUUCUUUAA